AUGAAUGCAUACCGAUGUCUGCCAACACCCAGAAAGGUGGCGACGAUGCCGGUGCAGCACAUGUCGGCGGAGGAGCUGCCGAGCCGGUACGUGCUGCGGGAGCAAGACCGCCAUGGCGACAUCCUAGCCGUGGAGGAGAUGCCGGAGCCCCUUCCCUUGGUCAACGUCAGUCAGCUGCGUGCGGCCGACGAGGCCAGCAAGCUCCAGGCGGCACUUGACAGCUGGGGACUCUUCCUGGACAUAUUUGCAGGUGGCACAGAGACCACGGGUGGUGUUUUAGCAUGGGCUAUGUCGGAGCUUGUGCACGCUCCGGAAAGUAUGAUCAAAGCAAAACAAGAAGUCCGGGAGGUGCUAGGAGAAGACCGAGUUGUCAUCACCAACAGUGACCUUGCUGAGCUUCACUACAUGCGGAUGGUUAUCAAGGAAACCCUUAGGUUGCAUCCACCUGGUCCUCUAGUCCCACGAGCGACUAGAGAGGAUUGCACAAUUCUGGGUUAUGACAUCCCUAAAGGAACCAAUGUUUACAUUAAUGUUUUCGCGAUUUCUCGAGAUCCUAGGUACUGGAACAACUCUGAAGAUUUUAAGCCCGAAAGGUUUCAGAACAGCACCGUGAAUUACAUUGGAACAAACUUUGAGUACAUUCCCUUUGGUGCUGGACGACGUCAAUGCCCCGGGAUUCACUUCAGCUUCCCAGUUAUGGAGAUGGUGUUAACAAAUUUUCUGUACUACUUUGACUGGAAGCUUUUUCAUGGGGCUAGCUUCGCUUAA
rnacentral:rRNA from 1 species